GAAAAACCCAAGGUAGUGGCUGAUUUUAACCAUCUGGUUCUAAUCUUGUUCCAUAUAUUUCUCUUUUCCUUGUGGGUUUUACUUAUUGUUUUAUUAAAGUGCUGUCACACUGCUACACAGAGAGGCAGACAGGAAAAUUAUCCAUGCUGUCUUUGGGGAGAGGUGGCACAAGUAUCUGUAUAUAAUAUAUAAUAUACAUACAUAUUAUACACACACACACACACACAAACAGAGUUGAGAGCAAAGAUGACAACUUCCUGCUAAAGAUACCAGAAAAGAAAAGCUUCCUGAAUUCUUCAUUUGUGCCCAGGCUUCAGAAUGUGCACACCCCCCCCCACAAUCCAGAAGAACUGUGGCACUGAACAAAACCCAUACAGACGGAAAGGAGCCGGAGAGGGCCAGAAGGCUGGCCUCGAGCUGCACCUGAGGCAACACAGCCACUCUCUUGGGCCAGAAGAAUGGCCCAACAUGAAAUAAUAAAAACAAAACAAGG
rnacentral:lncRNA from 1 species